AGCAGUCGCCACGGUAAUACGAAGGGUGCAAGCGUUACUCGGAAUUACUGGGCGUAAAGCGUGCGUAGAUGGUGGUUUAAGUCCGUUGUGAAAGCCCUGGGCUCAACCUGGGAAUUGCAGUGGAUACUGGAUCACUAGAGUGUGGUAGAGGAUAGUGGAAUUUCCGGUGUAGCAGUGAAAUGCGUAGAGAUCGGAAGGAACAUCUGUGGCGAAGGCGACUAUCUGGGCCAACACUGACACUGAGGCACGAAAGCGUGGGGAGCAAACAGGAUUAGAUACCCCUGUAGUCCCUGUCUCUUAUAC
rnacentral:rRNA from 1 species